rnacentral:tRNA from 1 species
GCGCCUGUAGCUCAGCCGGAUAGAGCACGGUCCUUCUAAGUCCGGGGCCGCAGGUUCGAGUCCUGCCAGGCGCACCA